CCUACGGGAGGCAGCAGUGGGGAAUAUUGGACAAUGGGCGAAAGCCUGAUCCAGCCAUGCCGCGUGUGUGAAGAAGGCCUUCGGGUUGUAAAGCACUUUCAGUGGGGAAGAAAGCCUUGGGGCUAAUACCCUCGAGGAAGGACAUCACCCACAGAAGAAGCACCGGCUAACUCCGUGCCAGCAGCCGCGGUAAUACGGAGGGUGCGAGCGUUAAUCGGAAUUACUGGGCGUAAAGCGCGCGUAGGCGGUCUGAUAAGCCGGUUGUGAAAGCCCCGGGCUCAACCUGGGAACGGCAUCCGGAACUGUCAGGCUAGAGUGCAGGAGAGGAAGGUAGAAUUCCCGGUGUAGCGGUGAAAUGCGUAGAGAUCGGGAGGAAUACCAGUGGCGAAGGCGGCCUUCUGGACUGACACUGACGCUGAGGUGCGAAAGCGUGGGUAGCAAACAGGAUUAGAUACCCCAUGUAGUC
rnacentral:rRNA from 1 species